rnacentral:rRNA from 1 species
CUAAGAGCAUAUGGUGGAUGCCUUGGCUAAAAGAGGCGAUGAAGGACGCAGUAUGGCGGCGAUACGCUACGGGAAGGUGCCUAACAACCGUUGAUCCGUAGAUUUCCGAAUGGGGAAACCCUCUGACUUCGAGUCAGAAUCUUGAUGCUUGACAUCAAGAAGCGCACCCUGGGAAGUAAAACAUUUCAGUACCAGGUGGAAAAGAGAACAAUUGUUAUUUCCUAAGUAGCGGCGAGCGAAAAGGAAAGAGCCCAAACCUACCCUUAUUCAUAUGGCGCAAUCGUUACCGCUUCGGCGGGGAUGUUUGUUCCAUUUGAUUAAGGGUGGGGGUUAUAAGGUAAGAACGUGAUAUUUAUAUCAGAGAAGUUAAAAAACAGUUUAUUAGAAGAAUGUUCUGGAAAGGACAGCCCUAGAAGGUGAUAGCCCUGUAGUCGAAAAUAAACAGUCUUCUUUGUUCUUAUUCUUGAGUACCUCGAGACACGAAUAGCUCGGGGGAAUUUGCCGGAACUAACCGGUAAGGCUAAAUACUCUUUUAGACCGAUAGUGAACAAGUACCGUGAGGGAAAGGUGAAAAGCAGCCCGGUAAGGGCGGUGAAAUAGACCUGAAACCAUAUGUUUACAAGGAGUAGAAGCGGUAGCAAUACCGCGACUGCGUGCCUAUUGAAGAAUGAGCCAACGAGUUUUAGCAUGCUGCAGGCUAAGGGCGAGAGCCCGGAGCCAUAGGGAAACCGAGUGUGAACAGCGCGUACGUAGUAUGCUAAAGACCCGAAGCCAGGUGAGCUUGCCAUGAGCAGGGUGAAUCAAUGAGAAAUCGUUGAGGAGGCCCGAACCGGUUAGCCGUGCAAUACUAUCGGAUGACUUGUGGUAAGGAGUGAUAAGCUAAUCGAACCUGGUAAUAGCUGGUUCUCUCCGAAAUAGCUUUUGGGCUAGCGUCGAGAGUACCUCUGGGGGGUAGAGCACUGGAAGGUCCUGACAGGUCGAAAGAUCCCGGGACCUAUCAAACUCCGAAUACCCAGAGUAAAUUUCUUGGCAGUUAGACGGUGGGGGCUAAGCUCCAUGCGUCAAAAGGGAAACAGCCCGGAUCUCCAUUUAAGGUCCCUAAAUCUAUACUAAGUACGCUUAAGGUGGUGUAUUUUCUCAGACAAUGAGGAUGUUGGCUUAGAAGCAGCCAUCAUUUAAAGAAAGCGUAACAGCUCACUCAUCGAGAGAAUAUGCGCCGCAGAUAAUCGGGGUUAAGUAUAGUACCGAAACUGAGGAUUAUAUAUUUCUUCGGAAAUAUCUAGUGGUAGGAGAGUAUUCCACUCUGCUGUGAAGGCAAAGGCGUGAGCCAUGCUGGAGCGUGUGGAAGUAAGAAUGUUGGCACAAGUAACCACAAUGCCGGUGAGAAUCCGGCACGCCGAAAGAUCAAGGUUUCCUUGGCUAUGCAAAUCAGCCAAGGGUUAGUCGGCCCUAAGGGGAUGGCGAACGCCGUACCCGAUGGACACAUGGUUAAUAUUCCAUGACUUUUAUGUGCAGUGAUGGAGGGACGAAGUGUAGUAUGUAUGGCUUGUUAUUGGAUUUGAGUGCGUGCUCGAAGGAAAUGGUGUAGGCAAAUCCGCAUCAUGUCUUUAAUGACAGUUCCAAAGAGAGCGCAAAGGUAGGGGUUCGCCCUUAUCAAUCAUACAAAGCACGCUUCCAAGAAAAACUUCUAAACUUAUGCAUGUAAAAACCGUACCGCAAACCGACACAGGUGAUCAGCUCGAGUAGAGUAAGGCGAACGAGUGAGAGGUCUCCAAGGAACUCGGCAAAAAAGCAGCCGUAACUUCGGAAUAAGGCUUGCCCUUCGACCUACAGACGCAAGUUUGUAGCAAAAGGGGCCGCAGCUAAAGUAUCUCUGGCAACUGUUUAUCAAAAACACAGCUCCCUGCGAACUCGUAAGAGGAUGUAUAGGGGGUGACACUUGACCAAUGCCAGAAGGUCAAACAACGCCGUUGCUAUGUCGCAAGAUGUAGUGGUGAGUGCUGUAAGCCCUGGUGAAUGUCGGCCGUAACUAUAACGGUCCUAAGGUUCUCGAUUUGUUGCAAAACAAAUCGAGAAGGACUGGGACUGUUAUGUAGGCAAAAGUGAGUUUAGAUAAAUAUGUUAAAUCAGUACACAAAUAAAGCUACCUUCAGUGCAGUAAUGCAAUGAAAGUCCAUAUAUGACUACCAAGAGACCAGCGUCAUACGUCCUACUUCGAAAGAAGAGGAUGAAGAAAGAGUCCAACGUUGAGGAAUAGUUGAGCGAAAUUCCUUGUCAGGUAAGUUCUGACGCGCACGAAUAGUGUAAUGACUGGAGAACUGUCUCGGAGACUUGCUCGGUGAAAAUACAAUAUCGGUGAAGAUGCCGAUUACCUGCAGUUAGACGAAAAGACCCUAGAAGCUUUACUGCAACUUGAUAUUGAGUGUACGUUUUGCAUGCGUAGCGUAGAUGGUAGGAUUUGAAGUUUUUCUUUCGGGGAAGAUGGAUCCGUCGAUGAAACACCAUUCUUGCGUGAUGUACAUUCUAACCCCUGCGGCAAAAACGCAGGGAGACAGUAUCUGGCGGGCAGUUUUAGUGGGGCGCUAUCCUCCUAAAAAGUAACGGAGGAGUUUAAAGGUAAGCUAGGCGCGAAUGGAAACCGUGCCGAUAGUGUAAUGGCAUAAGCUUGCUUGACUGUAAGACGUACUUGUCAAACAGAUGCGAAAGCAGAACAUAGUGAACCGACCAUUCGCAUUAGAUGCGGUGGAAGAUUAUCGGACAAAAGCUACUCUAGGGAUAACAGGCUGGUUGCGCCUAAGAGUUCAUAUCGACGGCGCAGUUCGGCACCUCGAUGUCGGCUCAACUUAUCCUGGGGCUGGAGAAGGUCCCAAGGGUAUGGCUGUUCGCCAUUUAAAAAGUUACGCGAGCUGGGUUCAGACCGUUCAGAAGUGGACGGUCGCAUCAAGAAAAAGUGCGAUUUCGACUGUUGAACAGUCUGAAUCACUUCGAGUUUAUUUUCGUUUAUUAAAAGAAUAGGAAAGUUUUGACCAAUCAUACACGGCGGUCGCAUAUAGU